rnacentral:misc_RNA from 1 species
GUGAAUCAUCGAAUUUUUGAACGCAAAUUGCACUCUCCUCGGAGAGCAUGCCUGCUUGAGGGUCAGCCUAUAAAAAUCGACAUCGUUGCUGUUCUGCGGUGACGUUCGUCGGAAGUUGGGUUAUCUUAAACCUUUUGGUUUAAGCGACUUAAAAUUUUACUCUUGAUUCCAUGAACGUUUCUAAGAUUUAUUUUUUUAUACGUUUAAGGUAUCGAUUUUUAUUAGACGUGGCCGUCAUAGCGGAUCGCGCCUAUAAU